UGUACGUAUUAUAUUUAAUUAAUCAUUAUAAAUAAGUUAUAAAAUCGUUCAACGUUAAUUUCAAUCACGUGUAUUACGGGUUUUUUUUUGUACACAUGAGCCUGACUUAUGGGAUAUAGUCUGCGCAAGCGCAUAUUUUGUAAUGUGAACAUAACCUAAAAUGGAAAUAUUUUCAUAACAUUGAAUCGAACGUGAUUUAUGUAUCUUAAGUAUACGACGAAUGAAGAAUAUUUUAAUUAAUACAGUACUGCAAAAUUUAAUUGCUGAUUAGAUUUCCUUGUGCGUUCAGUUAUUUUGUAAUAUUAUUAUUUAUAUAUCUACGUCUAUUGAAUUGUGCGUUGUACUAUUAAUAUGGUUUUUGUUUAAAUUCAUAACCUAGGUGCAUUAUUGACACUCCUUAUGAUGUGUAUUUUUUUCAUUGUAUCUGACUUUUGACUUUGAAUUUUCUGUCUUAUGAUCUAAUUCGGUUUACUCUGAAAACAGAUAUUGGCAAAAAAAAAUUGACAUUUUUCGUCCCAUGUAAGGGAACCAAUAAUUUUGCGUGCUGACGGAAGGUCGAGACAUCCGUUUAAUAAUACUGGAAGACGGUUCAACCCAGGAUCUAUGAAAGUUGUAACUUGGUUUACGAGGUGGACAUAAAAUUUCAGAAAUAGAACCAGAUCUAGGAUUAUAGAUUUUAAAACUGUAUAAAUGACAUUAUUUGAAUGUAAUUGAUGAAUUGAAUAAAAAAUAUAUAGAACGUUA